GUCCUACGGGGGGCAGCAGUGGGGAAUAUUGCACAAUGGGGGAAACCCUGAUGCAGCGACGCCGCGUGAGUGAAGAAGUAUCUCGGUAUGUAAAGCUCUAUCAGCAGGAAAGAUAAUGACGGUACCUGACUAAGAAGCCCCGGCUAACUACGUGCCAGCAGCCGCGGUAAUACGUAGGGGGCAAGCGUUAUCCGGAUUUACUGGGUGUAAAGGGAGCGUAUACGGCAGCGCAAGUCUGGAGUGAAAUGCC
rnacentral:rRNA from 1 species